rnacentral:lncRNA from 1 species
CAUUACGAACUAAAAUAUUAUUAUGCAAAACCACUAUAAAGUAUAAUCUAACAUCAUCAGUUUUCUAUCUUUACCAAUGUCUUAGGACCUUACAAGUAAAAAAAGGAAAACACAAUAUGUGAAAGACAAGUAAAAAAAGGAAAACACAAUAUGUGAAAGUCAAAUGAUGGUUAUUGUGUGUUUAGGGUUUAGGGACCUUACUGCAAGUGAUUCGCAAUAGUCUUACACUGGCUUGGUUGUAUGAUUGCAUGUAGCAGAGCAGAUUCAGUGGCUUCAAUGAAUCAGUAAGGUCCACAAUAUCAAGGUUUGCCUGUUCCCCUAGAGUCAGAAAAUAGUUGAAAGUUUCAAUGUUCCUUAUAACAUAUGCAAUAUAAGCUACUGGUGCUUCCUUUGACAUGCUACUACUCCCAUCAUUAUAAAUUGCUUUGCAUCUACCAUUACAUAUGUCAAUAGCAUCUUCAUGAUUUUGUUCACCAUUUCCAUGUUUAAUGUUUGGAGAGAGGCUCUUGCAACUUGCAUGCUGUCUGCAAAAGCUUGAAUUCAUCUGAUUCAAAAGAAUGGCAAGUACUCGAACAAGAUGAGGCAGGCAAACUGGAUCAUAUAUCACAUCUGCUCCCAAACUGAAAUAGUAAUAUACUGAGGAAUGACAUUUGAAUUAUGAACAAAUUUAAAGUAUAAGAAAUUAAGUUCUUUAAUUGAGUAGAAACUUCAGUUGAACUCUCACAUAACAUCUGGCAUGAUAUCUUGAAGUUGACUUUCUGAUGCAGAUUCCCAUGGCAGAUACAAGCAUUUUACCUGAGUGAGAUACAUGGAUCAGUUCAUAUUACAGAACCUUGGCAACAUACAAUACAGUUUAUAUUCUCUUCUAUCUACACAUACAAUCCAUUACAAAAAGGUUUUCAAAAGAAUGCAGAUCAUGUACACCCCCAGACAGUUUUGUUUUUAGCUUUUAUUGCCAUUUAUCAACACAGACUACACACUGCAACAAAAAGGACAAAAUAAAACUUCAAAAAAGAAAUUUAUAGAUUAAUCUUCUAUGAACAAAAUCUACAACCACAUGUUAGAACCAUGCACUAAAAACGUAUGAAACUCAAGAUAAGCACAACAACACUCAGAAAGAAGAUAAGUAGAAAGUAAAAAUUUAAAAAUACUGAAAAUUGGUAUUUAUAUAUCAGCUUAGCCAAUAGCUCAGUAUCACGCAAAACCUGAGAGAAGAUGUUGAGAGGAUUACAUUUUCUAUGCAUGAAAGAAAAAUAAAAUGCACGGCCUAUGCAAAUUCAGACUCACCAUCUUUGGGUCUUUGCUUCUUUCUGGCACAUUAGACUCAACAUUCAGGUUGUUCAACUCCAAAUUAAGCUUCAUGUUAGCUAAAGUUGAUAGGUCACCAUCACUUAAUAUCACCUGUUUAUAGACAAUAACAAGCUUCCAGUUGACUAUAUUCAACUACAAAUAUCACCUAAUGUUACCCAUAUAAUAAUUAAAACAAAUAGCACCUUUUUCUCGUUUAAAUUUCGGAGUUCUAGCUAAAACAUCAUACUUCAAUAACAAAUAUGUCAUCAUUCAAAAUGUUCAUGGAUGAAUCAUCAAGUAUAGUUGGUCAUACCUUGGAAGCUUUCACAUGGGCUAGACACAAUCCAACUAAGCCAACUCCUGAACCAAUCUAUUUCAAAUUUUUUAAAAGUGCACAAAGGUUAGAACAGAUGAAAGCUAAUCUUAAUGCAAUAAAUGAAAUGACAAAAAAAUUAUAAACUACACAGUAAUAGCACAAUUGCAUCUUAGAGCCUCUCUGUUAAGUGGAGAUAAUCACAUAAUUGUCUCAUCAUCACAUGCAAGGCCGCUCAUGACUGGAUAAAACCUUAUUAUUGCUACUGGAUUUAACAAACUCAAACAUAGAACUGACCUCAAAGCAUGAUUUAUUAAAAAAUAAUUCUGGAUGAGAAAGUAUUAACUCGGACAAAAACAGACUUGAUGGCCAUAUUGAGCACCUGCAUAACCAAACCAAUAUCAUCUUUAAGAAUUUAAUGCGAAUUCCACAAAUAUACAUGUCGCAUAUGCAUACUGAGGGAAGAAUUAUUAUAUAAGAAGCUGUAGAUAGAUCCAAGAAAUGCCCAAUUUAAUGGUAUUGCUGAACUCAACACAAGUUGAACUCUCAUGUAGCAAGAGCACUGGUUAUUAUGAGCAUACCCAGUAUCACCUUCAAGCAUGUUUAGAGAACACUGCAGCGAAAACACCAGUACCCUCGAGUGUGGACAACUUAGGAGUUCAGAACAACCUAGCCAUUCCAAUUUUACCAGCCAAAGAAAAUCUGAAUGAAACAACAUCAUAAGAAUAAACGGAGAAACAUAACCACAAUCAAGAUUUACCAUCAGGAAAAAGAAAUGAAAUUUUUUUGCAGAUUCUUCCAUCCCUCUUCCCCAAACUAUCAUCCUAGCAAAAAAGAAAGAAAAUCAAGAAAAAAAUCUAACCCACCAGACAAAAAAAGAAGCUUGGAGAAAUUAAUUGAUAGAAUAAAACCUUGAACGAUGUCAUGUAGUGAGCAUAGAGCUCGUACAAAUUAUCCAACACAUAGCCAUGUUCUAACUCAACUUGAGUAAUAAGUUUCUUGAGAAAAUUCUUCAAGUAAGGAGCAUGAAAAUCACCCUGCAUUUAUCAUUCUAUCCAAUCAAUCAAGCCCAGAGGCGAAAAUUAGUUUGGUUUAGUUAUAUUCAUUUUGACUUCUUGUUUUUUUCUUUUACAAGUGUUUUUAAAGAAAAGUUCAUCUGCCCAAAAAACAAAGUAGAAAAUUAAAGAUUACAGGAGUGGAAAGGCAAUGGUCCCAGAUGAAUUGCUGAACUUGUUCCGUGAUUGAGCCUCCACCAAACGCCCUGCAAAACUAUCUGUGUCACUGCUUUUUGAAGUCUUGCUGAAAUACAAAGGAGAAGAAGGAGUGAGGGAAGAGAAACCUGGCAUGGGAGAUAACACAGUGGAAAGGUUCAAUGGCCAGGAUUGAAGAAAGCAAAUGGCGGGAACAAGACAGGGAAGGAUCUAAGUCUUGCUCCAUCGCCACUUCCACUGCUAUGCUCUUCCUCCGACAAUCUCCCAUUCUAUUCAGAACAUGUGCUUUUUAUAGUGUCCAAAACAAACUCCUAAUAUUUACUUUAUUGUUUUUUAUGUUUUUUUAUUCAAUUUUAGUAAAAGAACAAUUUCUUCCUUUAAAAUGCUCUGCUUCCUUAUAAUGUUUAUUUUACUUAUAUUUUUAAUAAAAAUACUUCCAUUUUCUUAAUUUAAUUUAAAUUUGAUAUUAAUUAAAUUUUAUUAAAAAUAUAAAUAGAAGUUGAAUGAUUUCUUCUUGUAAAAAUUACAUUCACCCUCCUUCUAUUUUUUCUGGUUUUAAAAUUGUUUUAUUCUUAUAUCAUUGAUAAAAUAAUACUCGUACUAGUCAUUUUAUAUAUGCUUACAUUUGUAUUUUUUUUUACGAUAUAUUCGUAUUUUAUUAAAAAAAUUUAAGAUUUAAAAUUGAUUAAAUGUGCAAAUAUAUUGUAUUAUCGAUUAAUACUUCAAAUUCAAAUUUUAUUUAAGUGUGGAAUGUGAUUCUCUCAGCUUCAUAAAAUAAUAAAUAAAAAGACAAUUAAAAAGUUAAUAGACUCAAAAAAAUACAAGUUUGACAUUAAUAUUAAAUUCUUAAACAUAUAAAUUAAUUUAAGAAAAUGUUAAAGAAAUAAAUGAGUUAAGGAAAUUAAAUGAAGAUUUUUAUCAAAAAUAGAACAAAUCUAACCUUUUAAUUUAAGGAACCUAUUUUGUUUACAGAUAUAAUUCCAAUUGUUUGAUUGAACAAGUAUAAUAAUAUGACGAGUAUUGUAUGUUUACAAGAUGUAAAACAUUAUUGUUAUUUAAUAUUUUUGUAGAAUAUUUGUUUGACUAUUUAAUCUUGUUUUUUCCCACUCAUUUUAAAAUAGGUUUUUACAUUCUAAAAAAUUAUUUCUGAACGAGUAAGAGAUAUAAUAAAAAAAAUUGUGAGAUGUACAUUUUGAGUGGAAACAUCAAUUAUUUUUCUGCAUGUUGUACUAAUCAAAUAGGUCAAUAGUUCAACUUGUGGAACUUUUUACAACUUAGAUUUUAGUAUAUAUAUAUAUAUAUAUAUAUAUAUUAAUAAGAUAUAUUUACAACGAUUAAAAUACAAUUUUAUCUCUUUUUAUUGUACAAUUUUGACGUCUUUCUGCAAUUUUGGAAAUUUUUAAAAAAAUGUCAAUAUUUUUAUAUUCGGUAAUUAAGUUAAUAUAUUUAUAAAUUAAUUUAGGAAAACAGUGUAUGGUCUACAAUAUAAAGGUCAUUUAAACUAUCAUUUAGUAAAAAAUAGUAAUUGUUAACUUUUAUGAUAAUUAAAUAUUUUAUGAAAAGUAAGAAUUAUUUUAAAAUCUACAUUAAUAAUAAUAAUUGCCAACUAGUUAAUAGUUGCUAGGCAAGUUGUGAGAAUGAUUAAAAUUCAUAUUCAAUUAUCGUAUUGUAGCGGAAACUUUUAAAGUCAGGAGUUACAAUAUUUUUAAAGGAAAAGAAAUAUUAUUUUUAACGAGUUAAUAUUUUUUGUAUAUUUUUCUCAAACCUUAUUUAUUACAUGUCAUCGUUACUGAGAAAAAAAAUACAAAAUAAUGUAUAAAUUAUCGUAUGAAUCAUAUUAGGUGUAUCACUUAAUUCCUUGUGUGCGUGUUGUUUUUUUAUAUGACAAUUUAUCCACCUAUUUUUUAACUUCAAAGGUACAUUAGAAAAUGCUUUAACCACCACUAGAAAUCACUUUGGUCUAUCAAACUAUAGAUUUUCUUAAAGUUUUAGUGAGCUUGGUUUAGUCUCCACUCUCCUUUGUUUGCUUCAAUUCUUAAAUGAUAUUUUGGUGUGUUACUGUUUUUGUUGACAUAAUAGAUUGAAAGAGGUAGGUUAAGAAAAAAAAAUGAUAAAAAAAUAAAAGACUUGUACUUUGAGAUGAUUGAUAACAAAAAUUGGUCAGUGACAGGAAUGAUGUUUAAAAUAUAUAUCCAAAAGAGAGAUGACAAAGAAUAUUGAAAAUGUUAAUACUGGAAUAGAUUAGGUCCAGAGCAUAACCUAUGCAUAGUUCAAAAUCAUUAGUUAUUUCUUCUAAGUAAAAAAGGGAAAAGAUAACAUGUGAAACCCAGAUAAAAUCGCUAUUUUAUAUUAUUGCCAGUGAUACGCAAUAGUCGUACAUUGGCUUGAUUGUAUGAUUGCAUGUAGCAGAGUAGAUUUAGAGGCUUCAAUGAAUCAGUAAGGUCCACAAUAUCAAGGUUUGCCUGUUCCCCCAAGGACAUAAAAUAGUUGAAAGUUUCAAUGUUUCUGAUAACAUAUGAAAUAUAAGCCACCGGUGCUUCCUUUGGCAGACUAUUACUAUCAUCAUAAUAACUUGCUUUGCAUUUAAUGUUAGAUAUGUCAAUAGCAUGAUCAUGAUUGUGUUCACUAUUACCAUGUUUAAUGUUUGGGGAGAUGCCCUUACAACUUGCAUGCUGUCUGCAAAAGCCUAAAUUCACCCGAUUCAAAAGAAUUCCAAGUACUCGAACAAGAUGUGGUUGAUAAACAGGAUCAUAUAUCACAUCUGCACCCAGACUGAAAUAAUAAUAUAAUGAGAAUGACAACUGAAUUCCGAAUAAAAUUGAAAGAACAGUGCAAGA